rnacentral:rRNA from 1 species
AGAGUUUGAUCCUGGCUCAGGAUGAACGCUAGCGGCAGGCUUAAUACAUGCAAGUCGUGGGGCAGCAGGACUGUAGCAAUACAGUUGCUGGCGACCGGCAAACGGGUGCGGAACACGUACGCAACCUUCCUUUAAGUGGAGGAUAGCCCGGGGAAACCCGGAUUAAUACUCCGUAACAUUAUGAAGUGGCAUCACUUUAUAAUUAUAGCUCCGGCGCUUAAAGAUGGGCGUACGUCUGAUUAGGUAGUUGGCGGGGUAAUGGCCCACCAAGCCUACGAUCAGUAACUGGUGUGAGAGCACGACCAGUCACACGGGCACUGAGACACGGGCCCGACUCCUACGGGAGGCAGCAGUAAGGAAUAUUGGUCAAUGGACGCAAGUCUGAACCAGCCAUGCCGCGUGGAGGAUGAAGGUCCUCUGGAUUGUAAACUUCUUUUAUCUGGGAAGAAACCCAUGGUUUCUACUGUGGUGACGUACCCAGAUGAUAAGCCCCCCC